UGAAGAACUUUCAGAGAUGCUUUGGUGCCUUCGGGAACUCUGAGACAGGUGCUGCAUGGCUGUCGUCAGCUCGUGUUGUGAAAUGUUGGGUUAAGUCCCGCAACGAGCGCAACCCUUAUCCUUUGUUGCCAGCGGUCCGGCCGGGAACUCAAAGGAGACUGCCAGUGAUAAACUGGAGGAAGGUGGGGAUGACGUCAAGUCAUCAUGGCCCUUACGAGUAGGGCUACACACGUGCUACAAUGGCGCAUACAAAGAGAAGCGACCUCGCGAGAGCAAGCGGACCUCAUAAAGUGCGUCGUAGUCCGGAUUGGAGUCUGCAACUCGACUCCAUGAAGUCGGAAUCGCUAGUAAUCGUAGAUCAGAAUGCUACGGUGAAUACGUUCCCGGGUCUUGUAACACCCACCGA
rnacentral:rRNA from 1 species